rnacentral:rRNA from 1 species
UACAGAGGGUGCGAGCGUUAAUCGGAAUUACUGGGCGUAAAGCGUGCGUAGACGGUUAUUUAAGCCGGGUGUGAAAGCCCCGGGCUCAACCUGGGAAUUGCAGUGGAUACUGGCAGGCUAGAGUACGGUAGAGGAUGGUGGAAUUCCCGGUGUAGCGGUGAAAUGCGUAGAGAUCGGGAGGAACACCCGUGGCGAAGGCGGCCAUCUGGACCAGUACUGACGCUGAGGCACGAAAGCGUGGGGAGCAAACAGG